rnacentral:other from 1 species
CGGGUACUGCCCCGCGCGUCAGGAUAACGAUGCCCAGGGGCCUUAAUGGUACUCACCGGGAGCUGUCCCUGGCCGGAGCCGUGGUUCCGGACAUAUGGCGCCCACCUGCACUUGCAGGCCCGUGAGGAUCAACAUCCAACGGCGGUGGCGGUCCCGCC